UGCCAUCCCGGCUCCUUCCUCGGGGCUACCAAUAGCCCCCGGCAGGGCUCGUGCCACCUCAUGAUAAAGGACUUACCCGAUGCGGGAGGAAAUGGAGCAGCUUUCAGAUGAGAGACCCAAACAAGCCCCCGAAGUUGUUUGCAAGCCCCCGAGCGCAAAGCGGAGCUGGGAGGGUUCCCUGCUCGGCCAGCCCCCCCGGAGCACGGGAUUUCUGGUGUCAGGAACCGGGUCCAGGAGCCGUGAGGCGACACAUUAACUGCGAUCCCAUAAUCUCUUAAUCACAUUACGUUUUAAGUGAGCAUGUGUAAUUUCACCCAUCAAUGAUUUAUUUAAGCAUCGGAGCACAAUUACUCGUCUCGUAUGCAACCGCCGGCCGGGGGAGUGUUGUUUGCUCGAAAUAAAAUCUGGGGUCGGGGGGGGGACUGCCCCUACAUCUGUGCUGAGACCCCCGCAGCCAGGAGCUGCCGCGGCUGAGAGAGGGAUGCUCGCCCCCUUUCUCCCCUCUCUUAAAAAGCGAAGCCCCCCGAAGCGCUCCUCAGCAGGAGGUCUGCUAGCGGCCGUGGGACGCGCCCCUACUGCACCCUUUUGGCUGAAGCAGGUGCAAGCCGCAGGGGGACACACUGAUCUUCACGCCUGGCCGACCCCAAACUUCCCGACGGCAACAGACCCAAUCCGUUCCCCCGGAGGGGCAGGGGGACACCCCGCCCGUCACCGUCGCAUCGCGCCUAGGGGCCACGAACGUCGCUUGUCCCUGCAGAGAUGGGGUGGAGGGAGGCCCCGAGCCCCCCGUGCCGGGGACAGCAUCC